GGGGUAAAAUUAAUAAUUUAAUAAAUAAUAAAAAAAAUUUUAAUAUUAAAAUAAUUUAAUGGGGGUUAAAGUAUUUUAAUAGAAAAAAUUUGAAUUUUUAUAGUGGAGUAGUAUUGUGAAAGAAUUUUGAAAUAUUUUGAAAUUAAAUUUAUUAAAAAGUAAAUUUGAUUUGUUGUAUCUUGGGUAUCAGAGUUUAUUAAAAAUUUUUUAUUGUGGGGUAAAUUUCUCGAAUUUAAAAGAGAUAAUUAAUUAAAAAAGUUAUUGUUGCAUAAAUAUUUUUAAUAAUUAAUUUGAAAUGAAAUGUUAUUCGUUUUUAAAUAUAUCUAGUUUUUUUAGAAAAAAAUUUAAUUUUUAAUUUUAAAUUAAAAUUUAUUAAUUAAUUUAAUUUAUUUUAAUAUAAAAUUUUAUAUUUUAAGGGAUAAGCUUUAAAUUAACUUUUUAUAAUAAUUUUUUAUUAAUUUAAAAUUUUUAUGAUUUAUAUUGUUAAUAAAUUAUAUUUUAUUAUAAAUAAUUUUAUAAAAUAUAAAAUUUAAUUUAUUAUUUAAUUUUUUAUAAAAAAAUAAAUUAUAAUAUUUUAUAUUUAGAUAUUAUGAUAAAAUUAGUAUAUAAAUAAUAAAUUAAUAAUUAUUAAUUUUAUUAAAAAUUAAUUUAAAGGAAUUCGGCAAAAUUUUAUAUUCACUUGUUUAUCAAAAACAUGUCUUUUUGUAAAUAAUUUAAAGUCUAAUCUGCCCACUGAUAAUAAUUAAAGGGCUGCAGUAUUUUGACUGUACAAAGGUAGCAUAAUCAUUAGUCUCUUAAUUGGUGACUUGUAUGAAAGAUUGGAUGAAAUAUAUACUGUCUUUAAAUUAUAUUAUUGAAUUUAAUUUUUUAGUUAAAAAGCUCAAAUAAAUUAAAAAGACGAGAAGACCCUAUAGAGUUUUAUAAUUUUUAUAAAUUGAUUUUAUUUAUAAUUUUUUUUAAUUUUAAUUUAUAAAAAUUAUUUUAUUGGGGUGAUAAAAAAAUUAAAUAAACUUUUUUUAAUGAAUUUUCAUUAAUAAGUGAAUAAAUGAUCCAAUUUUAUUGAUUAUAAGAUUAAAUUACCUUAGGGAUAACAGCGUAAUUUUUUUUUUUAGUUCAAAUAAAAAAAAAAGUUUGCGACCUCGAUGUUGGAUUAAGAUAAAAUUUAUAUGCAAAAGUAUAAAAUUUUGAUCUGUUCGAUCAUUAAAAUCUUACAUGAUCUGAGUUCAAACCGGUGUAAGCCAGGUUGGUUUCUAUCUUUUGAAAAAAAAAUAUUUUAGUACGAAAGGAUCAGAUAUUUUAAUUAAAUUAUAAUAAAAUGAAUUUUAUUAAUUUUUUUUUUAUAGUUUUUAUGUUGAAUUUAUU
rnacentral:rRNA from 1 species